CUUGGUCAUUUAGAGGAAGUAAAGGUCGUAACAAGGUCUCCGUAGGUGAACCUGCGGAGGGAUCAUUACACAAAUAUGAAGGCGGGCUGGAACCUCUCGGGGUUACAGCCUUGCUGAAUUAUUCACCCUUGUCUUUUGCGUACUUCUUGUUUCCUUGGUGGGUUCGCCCACCACUAGGACAAACAUAAACCUUUUGUAAUUGCAAUCAGCGUCAGUAACAAAUUAAUAAUUACAACUUUCAACAACGGAUCUCUUGGUUCUGGCAUCGAUGAAGAACGCAGCGAAAUGCGAUAAGUAGUGUGAAUUGCAGAAUUCAGUGAAUCAUCGAAUCUUUGAACGCACAUUGCGCCCUUUGGUAUUCCAAAGGGCAUGCCUGUUCGAGCGUCAUUUGUACCCUCAAGCUUUGCUUGGUGUUGGGCGUCUUGUCUCUAGCUUUGCUGGAGACUCGCCUUAAAGUAAUUGGCAGCCGGCCUACUGGUUUCGGAGCGCAGCACAAGUCGCACUCUCUAUCAGCAAAGGUCUAGCAUCCAUUAAGCCUUUUUUUCAACUUUUGACCUCGGAUCAGGUAGGGAUACCCGCUGAACUUAAGCAUAUCAAUAAGCGGAGGA
rnacentral:rRNA from 1 species